rnacentral:rRNA from 1 species
GCCGCAGGGAAACCGAGUCUUAAUUGGGCGUUAAGUUGCAGGGUAUAGACCCGAAACCCGGUGAUCUAGCCAUGGGCAGGUUGAAGGUUGGGUAACACUAACUGGAGGACCGAACCGACUAAUGUUGAAAAAUUAGCGGAUGACCUGUGGCUGGGGGUGAAAGGCCAAUCAAACCGGGAGAUAGCUGGUUCUCCCCGAAAGCUAUUUAGGUAGCGCCUCGUGAAUUCAUCUCCGGGGGUAGAGCACUGUUUCGGCUAGGGGGCCAUCCCGGCUUACCAACCCGAUGCAAACUGCGAAUACCGGAGAAUGUUAUCACGGGAGACACACGGCGGGUGCUAACGUCCGUCGUGAAGAGGGAAACAACCCAGACCGCCAGCUAAGGUCCCAAAGUCAUGGUUAAGUGGGAAACGAUGUGGGAAGGCCCAGACAGCCAGGAUGUUGGCUUAGAAGCAGCCAUCAUUUAAAGAAAGCGUAAUAGCUCACUGGUCGAGUCGGCCUGCGCGGAAGAUGUAACGGGGCUAAACCAUGCACCGAAGCUGCGGCAGCGACGCUGAUGCGUUGUUGGGUAGGGGAGCGUUCUGUAAGCCUGCGAAGGUGGCCUGUGAGGGUUGCUGGAGGUAUCAGAAGUGCGAAUGCUGACAUAAGUAACGAUAAAGCGGGUGAAAAGCCCGCUCGCCGGAAGACCAAGGGUUCCUGUCCAACGUUAAUCGGGGCAGGGUGAGUCGACCCCUAAGGCGAGGCCGAAAGGCGUAGUCGAUGGGAAACGGGUUAAUAUUCCCGUACUUGGUGUUACUGCGAAGGGGGGACGGAGAAGGCUAUGUUGGCCGGGCGACGGUUGUCCCGGUUUAAGCGUGUAGGUGUGUGUUCCAGGUAAAUCCGGUUCACUUUAACACUGAGGCGUGACGACGAGGCACUACGGUGCUGAAG